AAACUUAAAGGAAUUGACGGGGCCCGCACAAGCGGUGGAGCAUGUGGUUAAUUCGACGCAACGCGAAGAACCUUACCAGGGCUUGACAUCCCCUGACCGCGUAUGAAAGUACGUUUUCACCCUCGGGUGACAGGGAGACAGGUGGUGCAUGGUUGUCGUCAGCUCGUGUCGUGAGAUGUUGGGUUAAGUCCCGCAACGAGCGCAACCCCUACGUUUAGUUGCUAACGCGUGAAGGCGAGCACUCUAGACGAACUGCCGUUGACAAAACGGAGGAAGGUGGGAUGACGUCAAAUCAUCAUGCCCCUUAUGUUCUGGGCUACACACGUGCUACAAUGGCCGGUACAGACGGACGCAAAGCCGCGAGGUGGAGCAAAUCCUAAAAAGCCGGUCUCAGUUCGGAUUGCAGGCUGCAAUUCGCCUGCAUGAAGUCGGAAUCGCUAGUAAUCGCAGGUCAGCAUACUGCGGUGAAUACGUUCCCGGGCCUU
rnacentral:rRNA from 1 species